AACGCACCUUGCGCUCCUUGGUAUUCCGAGGAGCAUGCCUGUUUGAGUGUCAUUAAAUUCUCAACCCCUCCAGCUUUUGCGAGUUGUGAUGGGGCUUGGACUUGGGGGCUUGCGGGUCUUUAUUUAUAAAGGUCAGCUCUCCUGAAAUACAUUAGCGGAACCGUUUGCAGUCCCGUCACUAGUGUGAUAAUUAUCUACACUGUGAUGAUUGCUCUCUGACUAAUUCAGCUGCUAAUCGUCCUCUACGGACAACACUUAAUGAACUUCUUGACCUCAAAUCAGGUAGGACUACCCGCUGAACUUAA
rnacentral:misc_RNA from 1 species